GAGAAAUAUAAAGACAAUGAGAAAUAUAUCUCCUACUGCAAAGACUUAACACCCACACAUCCCAAUGACCAGGAGGAGUCAUUUAAGGAUCGGGUGGAGGGGAUGGACUGUAGCAAUAUCAGCGGCACCGUCUCAGUAACUUUGAAGAACCUGACCAGAAACGACAGUGGGACAUACGAGCUUCAAGGGGUGGACCAUGGUGGACGGCUCUUUAAUAAAACUGUCUUCCUCAACGUUACUGACCCAGGUCACACAGGAGGAGGGAAGAACAAUGGAGACAGUAGAGGACAUCUUGGACUAUCCAACGACAUCUAGAACAUGAAAUCACGAUAGUGACGUUUGUAUCUAGUUAAAUCCUAGAACCUCAACAGGGCAAUAGUAAUGAAACAGCUUUCCUGAGGACAUGGGCUGCCUUGAGUACAAUGGCACCAGAUGGGCUAGGUCAGCCUGGAGUGCAGGUACACCGCCUAGAGCCACCUAGCAGCAGCUGAAAGGAUCAUUUAGCAGACCAGCUGGUGCCACAGGAGUGAGGAGGCCUCACAUUUGUACCUUGAGGAAUCAACAAGAGUCAUCAGCGCACCAAAGUUUAAUGGUGCAAAAGACAGCCUGAUACAACCACAAUGUGAGCUUACAUCAAGUUUCUUACUGCCAUACAACUAAGGGUAAUCUACUGCAUGCAGGAAAUUGGGACCCACUGAGACAGAGAAUUCCUGUGGACCUGCCUGAACUGAAGCUUUGGAUUCACUAACUGGAAGUCCUUCUGUUGUCACAUUCUGUUGUUACUUCACUGUAAAUAAACGCACUGAACUUAAUCCUGCAAGUCUGUGUUAUGAGUCCAGUCAGUCCAUUAGUUAUGACCGAGUGGAGGAAUUCCUCAUCUGAUUUCAAUGUCUUGGUCUAAAUCCCCAAAUGCAUCAA
ensembl:lncRNA